ACAAAAAAAAUCUACAUUGAUAGCAGAUUGUUAUAGCACGUUUUACUAAAUUGCUAUCGUAGAUCAUUUAAAAUAUUCAUGUAUUAUAUAAUAGCGCUAGAUAAGCGCUACGAUAGAGUUUCAGUAAAAUAGCGCUUGAUAAAUGCUAUCAUAGAUAGAAUUAUUGAUUCCGCCAAUACUUAACGGAAAAUUAGAUUUAAGCGCCAAAGACAUUAUUUAAGCGGUUUCAGUAAUGCUAUCAAAGACAUAUAAUAGCAUUUUUCUAACACUAAGAAAAAUUAUUUGAACCCCUAAACCCCAAACAAGAUUUUAAACCAUAAACAAAGUUUUAAACCCUAAACUCUAAAGACAACCCUUAAAACUCUAAUCUUUUCAUAUUAUAACUUCAAAUCUUAAAAUUAAACUCAAAAUUUUAUCUUCUUAAUCGUAAACUAUAAUUUCCUAAACACAAAUCUUUAAUCUUUAAUCAAAUUCUAUAUCUCAAAUCCUAACUUCAAACAUAAACUAUACAUUCAAUACUCUAAAUAUAAACUUCAAAUCUACACUAUUAAAAAUUUAACUACAAAUCUUAUCUAGUCUUCAAAUCUAUUAUCUUACAACUUUAAUCCAAAAUACUAAACUUUAACCCUAAACCUCGUAUUCCAAUAUCCAAACCUUAAAUCACAAAACUAACUUUACUCUUAAUCAUAGUUUUUUAUAAUCCAUAAAAUCUAAUUUUUAUAAACCAUAAAAUCUAAUUUUUAUAUAUAUAUAAUAUUUAAAUUUUUACAUGUUAGAUUAAAAUUAAAAUAAUCAUCUUUUUAUAUAUAAAAUUAAAAUUAAAAUAAACUAAAAAGUGAAUAUAAUCAUUAAUCUCCCCAUUUUUAAUAGUUAAUUCAUUAAAUGGCGGAUUGUAAUCUGAACCGUUGAUUAGAUCUCAUCUAAUGGUCUAGAUUGAUCCAUCUAUGCUUCUUCCUCUAUCUCCAUGCUUCAUCUCCAUUGGUCAAUAUUUCUCACACUUGGAUUGCUAUCUCCAUUGUUCAUUAUCUCUAAUCCAAAGGUGCACAGUCUUAGUCACUUUAUUUAUUUUUAAUGUACUUUUCUCAUCUUCUCUUCUCCUCUCGCCGACAGGUUUUUACUUUUCUUACUUCAACCCAUUUUCAACAAAUCGAAGAAGAAGAACUGUUGGAGAAGAACACGAUGGUCUCCCAUUGAGGAAACCCCGCCUCUGUCGCUGUUGUGAAGGAAGCACUGUGACUCAUCUCUACUCUGUGACGUCUCCCUCCUUCACGGCAAGCACUCAUCUCAAAUGUUUGCUCUUGCUGAAAUCAAUUUGUGGUUUGGUUGAUGACAGAGGAAGCUAGUGCCCUCGUCUUCUCCUCUCUGCUCCUCCAACAAGACGAAAGAGAAAGAAGCAAACAAGAAGAGACAUCACCGUAACUUGCUCAGAUCAGGUUGGCCAGAGAGGAUGAAGAAGAAUACGCCGUGUAGGUGGUUGAGGUGGUGAAGGAAGAUGAAGAAGCUUAAUGGACGUGGUGUUGAUGGCGGCUGAGUUAGAUUUUUUGUAGGGUUAGAUUUUUUUUUGUUUAUCUGGUUUAGUGUAAACCUAAACCAAUUUGUAACUGUAAACCAAUGUAAUUGUAAACCAAUGUAAUUGUAAACCAAAAUUCAAUUUAUAAAAUUAAAUACCAAUUUAUUAUUUUUAGUUAA